CCCUGAUAGCUCAAACUGUAAAGAAUCUGCAUGCAAUGCAGGAGAUGCAGGUUUGAUCCCUGCAUCAGGAA
rnacentral:tRNA from 1 species